UAUCAGCUCUGCAGACUGAAGUCCUUUGUUUAAUUACAGAACAGGUUUAGCAUGGGCAGCAGCCGCGCCAGCUUCCCCACAUGGCCAGUCAUGCCUGUUUUGAGAGGGACAAACUCCAUGGCAUUCAUUGUGGACCUUGUAGGCUGCCCACAAGGGUUCCCGCUACUACG
ensembl:misc_RNA